CACUCCUUUAUUUCAGAGAGUCAAAUCUUCAUCUUCAAAUCACCACAGUCAUGACAUCAGCCGUCGACUCUCAAUCGGAUCCCCAAUCCAAUUCCCUAAGCCCCACACUGUCACCAAACGCACCCGAUUGCGAACCAUUUCUUCCCCCAACUCAGUUCCUCCCUUCUCCGCCCACGAGCGACGCCGUUGAAACGCCUCUGCCGCCGCAUGCAGAGAGUCUCCGCUACUCUACCAGCCAACAACCCGAGCCCACAAUCGUAGAAGACGCAAAUGCAGGAUUCAGAAAGCGAAAGCUGUCGGCGGAGAAGGAGGGGAAUUCUCUGAGACGCUCGCCGAGAUUCUCAGCGGGAUCUGGAUCAGGGUCGCGUCAUCUUGUUAAGUGGCAUGGGUCUAGGGAUCCGGAAUUACCGCUGAAUGUCCAAAAUUUUCAUGGAAAGUUCAAUGGUGGGGAGCACUUGAGGCGAUGCCCAGGAUUAAAUCCAUCAGAAAAGCUUGAUGUGAAACUGUACGGUACAUUGGAGCUUAGGAGAUCCCCACGAUUUUCCUCUUCAAAUGGGAAUGAAAACAUGGAAAUUAAUGUUUUACAAAGAAAGAGAAAAUCAAAAGCAGUUCACCAAACGAAAAAAAAUAUAAAAGCGGUUUCUACUUCCAUUGAAUUGUCUAGUUCAACAGUUGAGCAGCAUUCUGAAGUUAAAAUUAUGUCUAGAAGCUCUACCUGUGGAAUUGACGAUACCAAAUCCUUAACUUGGUCUUCAGAGGCAAUCACAUCCCCAUAUCAAAAUGGCAGAACAAUUUCUAAUUCCUUUCCCUUGUCUGAGUUAGAUGAUGAUCCACCAAGAAAGAAAUAUAGAACAUCAACUUCUUCAACUAAGGAAGGUAUGGAUUCAGAAAGCAUUGCUGCCUUCAUUGGUGAUCCAAUACCUGAGGAUGAAGCUCAGAAAAGAUGGGGAUGGCGAUAUGAAUUAAAGGACAAAAAAUGUAAAGACCAACAGCUAAAGAUAAAUGAGGGUGAAGAAGACGAGAUUAUUGCAAAUGUCAAAUGCCAUUAUGCACAAGCUGAAGUUGGGAAUUGCAUUUUUAGUCUUGGGGAUUGUGCAUUUGUAGAAGGUGAAGGAGAGGAGAAACACGUUGGCAGGAUUAUUGAAUUUUUCCAAACAACUGAGGGACAAAACUAUUUCCGAGUCCAAUGGUUCUACCGAAUUCAAGAUACAGUUGUUCAAGAUGAAGGUGGUUUCCAUGACAAGAGGCGUGUAUUUUAUUCAUCAAUAAUGAAUGAUAACUUGAUAGAUUGCAUAAUAGGAAAAGCUAAUGUAACACAAAUAACACCCAGGGUUGGUCUGAAGUUGGCUUCAAUUUCACCAUCUGACUUGUAUUAUGACAUGGAGUAUUGCGUGGAUUACUCUACAUUCCGCAACAUACCAACAGACGCCUCUGCAGUGACAGAGAAUCUACCCUCUUCUGACCUGUGCAAGAACGAAUUAUCAUUACUAGAUCUCUAUGCUGGGUGUGGUGGCAUGUCAACUGGAUUGUGCUUAGGUGCCAAAACUGCAUCAGUUAACCUUGUCACGAGAUGGGCUGUUGAUAGUGAUAUGUCAGCCAGUGAAAGCUUGAAACUAAACCAUCCGGACACACAUGUGCGAAAUGAAUCUGCUGAGGACUUUCUGGAAUUAUUAAAGGAGUGGGAAAAACUAUGCAAACGGUAUAAUGCCACUGUUGCAGAAAGAAAACUUUCAUGUCGAUCCAAAUAUCCAGAAACAACGAAACAAGAAGUUCAUGAUGUUUCUGAUCAUGAAUUUGAAGUUUCUAAGUUAAUUGAUAUUUGCUUUGGUGAUCCCAAAGAAACUGGUAAUCGUGGUCUAUAUUUCAAGGUGCAUUGGAAGGGUUGCAGUACAAGUGAAGACACUUGGGAACCAAUUAAAAGCUUAAGUAAGUGUAAGGAAAGCAUACAGGAUUUUGUGAGAAAAGGGAUGAAAUCAAAAAUCUUGCCUCUUCCUGGAGAAGUUGAUGUUAUUUGUGGGGGUCCUCCUUGUCAAGGAAUUAGUGGAUAUAAUCGCUUUAGAAACUCUGAGUCACCAUUGGAUGAUGAAAGGAAUCGUCAGAUUGUGAUUUUCAUGGACAUGGUGAAAUUUUUGAAGCCUAGGUAUGUUUUAAUGGAGAAUGUGGUUGACAUAUUGAGAUUUGACAAGGGCUCACUUGGAAGAUAUGCAUUAAGUCGUUUGGUGCAUAUGAAAUACCAAGCAAGACUUGGAAUCAUUGCUGCUGGGUGUUACGGUCUUCCACAAUUUCGGUUGCGUGUUUUCUUGUGGGGUUCUCAUCCUAGUGAGGUUUUACCCCAAUUUCCACUGCCAACGCAUGAUGUCAUCGUUAGAUACUGGCCUCCGCCAGAGUUUGAGCGCAAUGUUGUUGCUUAUGAUGAAAACCAACCUCGUGAAUUAGAGAAAGCUACCGUUAUCCAAGAUGCCAUCUCUGAUCUUCCAGCUGUCAUGAACUCGGAAACUCGUGAACAAAUGCCAUAUCAGAGUCCUCCAGAAACGGAAUUUCAAAGAUAUAUACGGUCAACUAAAUAUGAGAUGACUGGGUCAAAAUCAAAUGAAACAACAAAGGAAAGGCCCUUGCUGUAUGAUCACCGUCCCCACACUUUGUCUGAAGAUAGCUACGAACGUGUUUGCCAAAUUCCAAAACGCAAGGGUGCAAAUUUCCGUGAUCUGCCUGGUGUUGUUGUAGGAGCUGACAAUGUGGUAAGACGACAUCCGACAGAUAAUCCGAUGCUGGCAUCUGGAAAACCAUUGAUCCCAGAUUUUUGCUUCACUUUUGAGGGAGGGAAGUCUAAGAGGCCAUAUGCACGGUUAUGGUGGGAUGAGAAUCUUCCAACUGCACUAACCUUCCCAAGCUGUCAUAACCAGGUUGUACUACACCCGGAGCAGGAUCGAGUGCUCACUAUACGAGAAUAUGCCAGACUACAAGGAUUUCCUGAUUAUUAUAGAUUCCAUGGGACUGUGAAAGGGAGGUACCGUCAAAUUGGAAAUGCAGUUGCCAUCCCUGUUUCACGGGCUUUAGGUUACACCUUAGGACUAGCUUGCAGAAAGCUCAGUGGAAAUGAGCCACUUGUAGCUCUCCCUCCUAAGUUUUCUCACUCUCAUUAUCUUCAGUUAUCUAACAAUCAGCCAGGCAACACUGACGACACUGACAACACUGACUAGCAUUCAUCCUAUUAUUUCCCUUUCAUUUCAUCAUAGCCAGCGUUUUUAGUUGAAGUUGUUGCUGAGGAACUCUCCUUCGAAUACCCUAGAUCAUCUUGAAAACUUCUCUCAUUCGUUGGAGCAUGUUUGGUUUAAAGUUUCACGAGUAUUUUAACACAAACUAUUCAAGUACUUGAUAUCUUUCGUGUAGACAAGGUGGUGUGAGAUUUAACAUCA